GGGAGAAGCAUGCGCUCCUGGGUCCCUAACACAGCCGCUGCUGCUGCUUUUCCAUUUCAGAAACUCAAACCUGUGACCAAUAUGACUGACCUCGAAGCUGAGCUUUGUCUCCAGAAGCGCAAGUAGUGAGUUGUAGGAGCUGGAGAACAGCAAAGGAGAGAAGCUCUUCCCUUGAGAGCCGGAGGCCCUCUGAGGAAGGACCAAGACAGCGGAGAGAAAGAGCUGCGGAAGGGCUCGUUCCAAGUUCUUAGCCCUUACGGAAAGAAAAAGUUGAAAGCGGGAACUUAAUGUUAGGUGACUUUAGCCGAUUUAAGACAAGGAUGUGAAUAUCGGCCGUUUAUUUCGCAGGUAGGAGAUGGGGAAGUGCGAGGGGAUGGAUGGAAACCAAGACAGAGUGCACCAAUGAGAUUACCCUUGUGAGCAAUGGGGUCUUAGUCCAGUGGGGAACCGGAGAUGUGCAGAAACCACCUCCAAGUUGUCCCACACGAGGGCCGAUGAAGCUGAGAUACUUACACAUCAUCUCCUGUUUCCCACUUUUGAGCGCUACUGAAGGGACCUUAAAGCUCCAGCACUUACAGCCUGCCUCAUGGUCAGGCCUCAGGCAGCGUCUGUAGGUGCCUGCAAGGAAAAGCCAGCUGUCGGCACAAGGGAAUGACUCCUACAGUGAUAGUCAUACUCACAUUCAAGGAAACCCUGAGACAGAGAUCCCACAGCACAUCAUAGGUUCCACUUGCCACCUCUUCAGCCUGGUAACUCUCAGGAUGGAGAGGAGCUUCCUAACGACUGCUCAACCCAGCCACCAGCAAGUCAGGCAUGCCGCAAGAGAAUCCAGGGAAAACAACAUGGAGGGAAGAAACCAAAUCACACCGAGCCACACAGCCAGACACAGCAAUACAGCCACAAGGUUACUGGGAAGAAUGGGGAUGGUAGGGAGGCUUCCUCUUACACAGGGCAGCUCCUUGGGCUCUGGUUCCAAGCGCUGAAGUCCCUGAAUGAGCAAAGCCUCUCAGAUACACAGGCACCCAUCUUGUGAUCAAUGGCUGAGCUGACCCAUUCCAGAACAGUCCCAGGCACAGCCUCAAGGCUGACCUGAGUAAGGUUAGUAGGCUCCUGGUCCUGCUUGGUCAGCCUGGCCCUGGCACGGCUGGGCCUGGCUGCACCUUUGGGAUCUUCAA